UACAAUCUUUAUUAACCCAUGUUAAAAAGAUAAAAGCUCCGGCGGUGUAAAAUGAGCGUGCGUCCUAUUAGCUAGUUGGUGAGGCAAUGGCUCACCAAGGCUACGAUGGGUAGGGGUUCUUAGUGGAAGAUCCCCCACACUGGCACUGAGAUACGGGCCAGACUCCUACGGGAGGCAGCAGUAGGGAAUAUUGGUCAAUGGGCGCAAGCCUGAACCAGCCAUGCCGCGUGCAGGAUGAAAGCUCUCUGAGUUGUAAACUGCUUUUGUACAGGAGCAAAACAAUCCCUGCGGGGAUUCUUGAGAGUACUGUAAGAAUAAGCACCGGCUAAUUCCGUGCCAGCAGCCGCGGUAAUACGGAAGGUGCAAGCGUUAUCCGGUUUUAUUGGGUUUAAAGGGUGCGUAGGCGGCUUAUUAAGUCAGUUGUGAAAUCCUAGUGCUUAACGCUAGAACUGCAAUUGAUACUAUUAGGCUUGAGUUAAGAAUAGGUAAGUAGAAUUUAUGGUGUAGUAGUGAAAUGCUUAGAUAUCAUAAGGAAUACCAAUAGCGUAGGCAGCUUACUGGUCUUUAACUGACGCUGAGGCACGAAAGCGUGGGGAGCAAACAGGAUUAGAUACCCUGGUAGUCCACGCCGUAAACGAUGAUCACUCGAUAUACAUAAACUUUAUGUGUGUCUAAGCGAAAGCGUUAAGUGAUCCACCUGGGGAGUAUACCCGCAAGGGUGAAACUCAAAGGAAUUGACGGGGGUCCGCACAAGCGGUGGAGUAUGUGGUUUAAUUCGAUAAUACGCGAGGAACCUUACCUGGGCUAGAAUGUAUUUUGCUACUUUGAA
rnacentral:rRNA from 1 species